rnacentral:rRNA from 1 species
AACGAACGCUGGCGGCAGGCUUAACACAUGCCAGUCGAGCGAACCCUUCGGGUCUUGCGGCGUCCGGGUGAGUCACGCGUGGGAACGUUCCCUUCUCUACGGCAUACCCCCGGGAAACUGGUAGUAAUACCGUAUACGCCCUUAUGGGGAAUGAUUUAUCGGAGAAGGUUCGUCCCGCGUUGGAUUCGGUAGUUGGUGGGGUAAUGGCCCACCCCGCCGCCGAUCCACAACUGGGUUGAGAGGAUGAUUAGCCACACCGGGACUGAGACACGGCCCAGACUCCUACGGGAGGCGGCAGAGGGGAAUGGUGGAAAAUGGCGGGAAUCAUGAUGGAGCCAGGACGGGUGAGCGAUGAAGGCCGUAGGGUUGAAAUGCGCAUGCAGCUGGGAAGAUAAUGACGGUACCAGAAGAAGAAGCCCCGGCUAACUCCGUG